rnacentral:lncRNA from 1 species
GUCCUUGAUACAGCAUUUUCAGUUCCUCUUAUUAUAGGUCAAGUGAUUAAACACAAAAAGCAAAACAAGAUCUGUCUAAAGGACUAUAUACAAACACCAGAUUAUCAUUUCGUUUUAUUCUUCUUUUGUUGUCGCUGUUGCUCCAUUUUUGUCUUUAUUAUUAUUAUUAUUAUUAUUUUUUUAGAAGACACGCUAGCGCACGGAGAUAAGAACAGAGAAAGCUGCUGUAUCCUCUACAGGGGGGUGUGGGGAGGGGACCAGGGGGCUCCCAGGCACCCGAAUGCCCCUCAGGCACCCCCAGGCUCCCAGCCCCCCCAGCAGUGGGUGUUGUGCCAAGGGGAGCGGGCAGCAGAGCCCCCCCCAGCCCGAGGAAACCCGGCUGGACACGUGGAACUGCGGCGGUUGCUGCGGGACUGGUUAAAAACAGAGACAUGCAGAACAGCGAGGAGCCGGAGAGGCGCAGAGGGGUUGGGGGGGGGGGGUUAAGGGGGUCGUUGGGGCAGGGAGUUGUGCAGAAACCGGUAGGAUUGAGGGUCGUCGUUAAAUACCGAGGGGGAGCGGUGGGUGCGGUGCCCCCGGAACGGGUGCAGGAUGAAGCCGGGCCAGGGGGGCACAACUGGCUGCCAUGGUGCUGCCCUCGGACGCUGCUGCCUGCGGGUGCUGCAGCUGGCACAGACCCCUCACCCCCCCCCCCCCCCAACCCCCAGCAGCCCCGACCCCUUCACUCUAAUCUGAUUUCUCCCCAUCGUCGUCUUGGUGGGCGUCCCCGUCGUGGCCGUUCUUGUCCUCCUUGGCCAGGUGUGCCUGGGAGCCCAAGGCCGAGAGCGAGAGGAGGCCGGAGCCGGCGCUGACGGCGGGGAGGGAUGGGGGCUGCAGCCCCACGGGCAGCGGAGUCAGAGGCAGCGCCAGGGCUUGGAGCUGUGAGAGCUGGUGAGCUUGGAGCUGCUGGCGGAUGAUGGAGUUCAGCUCCGGUGCCGUCACCUGCUUGGCUCGUUCAAUGGCUCCCAGGACUUGCUGCUGGUGCUCCUGUGAAAGGUAGGGCAGAACCUGCGCACAGAUCCCAUUGAGCCUCUUGACGAUUUCAGCCUGUUUGUGCAUUUCAAUAUUCAGCCCGUAGGACAUCUCGUAAUACAUGACGUAGUGACGCUGCAUCUCCGAUUUCUCGCUGGCGAGUUUGUCGCAUUCCAACUUCAAGCUGUGGUACUGGGCCUGCAGGAGCUGGAACUCGUCCUUGAUGCGGUCGCACGAGUCGGAGGUGGUGAACUUGAGCUGCUGCGGCAGGUGAGAGGAGCCCGAGUGUCGGCUUUGUGGAAACAUCAUGUCAGGCUGCAGCCCGGCCCACCGCACGCAGCGGUCCCCGCGCACCGCACCGCUCCGUUCCGUCCUUUCCCCCUCCGCCUUUGUCCGCGCCGGGCCCGGCCCCGCGGCCGCCCCGCGCCGCUCUGCCCCGAGCCGCCGCCUAUUGUCUAAUGGCGGCUGCGAUCCGCUCCGUCCUGCGGCUGCUCGGCACCACCUGCCGCCCCGCCGCCGCCUCCCCGGGCCGGGCGGGCCCACGGCCG